rnacentral:rRNA from 1 species
UACGUAGGUGGCAAGCGUUGUCCGGAUUUACUGGGCGUAAAGAGCGCGCAGGCGGCUUGGCAAGUCGGGUGUGAAAUCCCGGGGCUCAACCCCGGGACUGCAUUCGAUACUGUCAGGCUAGAGGUAGGUAGGGGAGAUCGGAAUUCCUGGUGUAGCGGUGAAAUGCGCAGAUAUCAGGAGGAACACCGGUGGCGAAGGCGGAUCUCUGGGCCUUACCUGACGCUCAGGCGCGAAAGCUAGGGGAGCGAACAGG